rnacentral:rRNA from 1 species
CAGUAGCCGCGGUAAUACGUAGGGUGCAAGCGUUAAUCGGAAUUACUGGGCGUAAAGCGUGCGCAGGCGGUUUGUUAAGACAGAUGUGAAAUCCCCGGGCUCAACCUGGGAACUGCAUUUGUGACUGGCAAGCUAGAGUGUGGCAGAGGGGGGUGGAAUUCCGCGUGUAGCAGUGAAAUGCGUAGAUAUGCGGAGGAACACCGAUGGCGAAGGCGGCCCCCUGGGCCAACACUGACGCUCAUGCACGAAAGCGUGGGGAGCAAACAGGAUUAGAUACCCGCGUAGUCCCUGUCUCUUAUAC